GGUGUGGGGGGGCUUGUUUCUGGCGUCGGAUUUGCGUGAAAAGGGAGGCAGACGGUUGUGCUUGCGGUGGCAACGAGGGAAGAGCUUUCUUUCCUCCAACUCAUCGUCGGCAGCAAAAAGGAAGAAGAAGGAGGUGAUGCUAGCGAGGGAGGGGCAGAAGAAAAAGAAAUUCCCGGCAACUAGAAGGUGGUAGCGGUGGCGGAAAAAGUGAGGGAGGUGAGGGACAAGAGGAAAGUGACCGGGGG
rnacentral:lncRNA from 1 species